rnacentral:rRNA from 1 species
GUGUCAGCAGCCGCGGUAAGACAGAGGGUGCAAACGUUGUUCGGAAUUACUGGGCGUAAAGCGCGUGUAGGCGGCCCUGCAAGUCGGAUGUGAAAUCCCACGGCUCAACCGUGGAAGUGCAUUCGAAACUGCAGGGCUAGAGUCCUGGAGAGGAAGGUGGAAUGCUUGGUGUAGAGGUGAAAUUCGUAGAUAUCAAGCGGAACACCGGUGGCGAAGGCGGCCUUCUGGACAGUGACUGACGCUGAGACGCGAAAGCGUGGGGAGCAAACAGGAUUAGAUACCCUGGUAGUCC